rnacentral:rRNA from 1 species
UACGGGGGGAGCAAGCGUUGUUCGGAUUUACUGGGCGUAAAGGGCGCGUAGGCGGCCACCGCAAGUCGACUGUGAAAUCUCCGGGCUUAACCCGGAAAGGUCAGCCGAUACUGCGGGGCUAGAGUGCAGAAGGGGCAACUGGAAUUCUCGGUGUAGCGGUGAAAUGCGUAGAUAUCGAGAGGAACACCUGCGGCGAAGGCGGGUUGCGUGGGCUGACACUGACGCUGAGGCGCGAAAGCGUGGGGAGCAAACAGG